rnacentral:rRNA from 1 species
UUGGAGGGCAAGUCUGGUGCCAGCAGCCGCGGUAAUUCCAGCUCCAAUAGCGUAUAUUAAAGUUGUGGCAGUUAAAAAGCUCGUAGUUGAAUUUCGGGAUCAAUAUUUCGGUCAUGCCGUUGGUAUGCACUGUUAUCAUUGAUUUCUCACCUUCUAAAGAACCGUAAUGCCAUUAAUUUGGUGUUACGGGGAAUUAGGACUGUUACCUUGAAAAAAUUAGAGUGUUUAAAGCAGGCUCACGCUUGAAUACAUUAGCAUGGAAUAAUGAAAUAGGACAUCCGAUUCUAUUUUGUUGGUUUCUAGGAUCGAUGUAAUGAUUAAUAGGGAUAGUUGGGGGCAUUAGUAUUCAAUUGUCAGAGGUGAAAUUCUUGGAUUUAUUGAAGACUAACUACUGCGAAAGCAUUUGCCAAGGAUGUUUUCAUUAAUCAAGAACGAAAGUUAGGGGAUCGAAGACGAUCAGAUACCGUCGUAGUCUUAACCAUAAACUAUGCCGACUAGGGAUCGGAUGAUGUUAAUUUUUUAAUGACUCAUUCGGCGCCUUACGGGAAAC